AAGUAAUUUAAAGAAGGGAAAAAAAAUUACAUUCAGUGGUUAACACCAUCCACUUGAUCUAUGUAUGCAAAGGAGUUAAUAGUUAAUUACAUAUUGGACAUUCCAUACGUAAGCUAAUACCAGCAAAUUACAUUUGACAUCUAAGAACAUAGCUCAGACGAGGAUCAAAAUAGUAGGAGUUGUAUGUGCCUUAGAUUAGAAUAGGGCAGCAACUUCAGAUAACAAACAAAUAUAAAACACAAAUGAAUCAACCAUCAUUGCUUGUAGUAAUCAAGAAGACUAGACUUAUCAUCAAGUGACCUUGAGAAAAAUUUGGAACGAUAUUCACCGAACACGACUUCUCUAUACCUUGCAGGGUUAUUCUCUGAUGUUAACUCCUUAAUUGGGCUGUACGUCAUGUAUAUACUUCCGGUGAAAAAGCAUGCCACAGAAAUCCUUGGACCUUCAUGGUUGGCAAUUACUCUGUGCUCUACGCUUUUAAGUCUGUCAAUUGAUAUAAGCUGCCACGAUGACAGGCAUAUUAGAAGAAAAUCAUAAUACAAAGAUAACAAGGGAUUGCAUAUAAAAAAAAAAUGACAUGGGGUUUAAACUUUAAACACCUAACGCUAACCAGAAGGUCUCCAAUGUUUAUUACCAAGGCUCCUGGAAUGGGGCGUAUAUUAACCCAUUCACCUUCAUGAAGGACUUGGAGGCUACAGAUUUGGCUUUGCAGAAGUAUAGUUAGGGUUCCCGGAUCCGAGUGUUUGCUUGCUCCUAAAGUCAGCUGUGGCUCUGGACAUGCCGGAUAAUAGUGGCAGACAAGGGUGUACCCUUCACCACAUCCUAAUGUUUUCAAGUGGUCCGCUUUUAGGCCAAGUGCCUCCGAUAGUAACUCAAACAAAUGGUCCCCCAAUUUUAUGAUAUGUUUAAUAUACUCCUGUGUUGCCCUUCUGUGAAUAUAAGCCAAUAUAUAAGAAAAUCAGCCGAUGAGUCUUUGUUGAACAAAGAAUGAUGAAUCAUUGUCAUCAAAUUCUCAAAAUGUUUUAAGAAAGAAACCUGGCCUGAAAAUCUUUAUGUAAACUUUAGGGACAGGCUUGCAAUAACUAAACAUGUUGGCAUCUAAUGUUACAUCAACAUAACAAGCAAAUAUUACUAGAGGUAUUAAAAAUUAAGCAAUUGGUUAAUAAGGAUCUUUUCAACUAAAUCAGUGCUAUGGCAGAUAAAAAAAUAAAUCAAGGGGUUAUGUACCUGCAACAAACUGGCAGUUCUUCAGGGUCAAGAUGAUCAGGCAAAGAAAUGGUCAAUGUGUCCCUCCAAUUAGCAAAUCUUGAUUUAUACAGAUCAUAAUUGGAGUUGAAUCUCACCUUUUGCAUAUGAUUGCGAGAGUAAAACAACUUCUUCACCUCGAGGUCUUCUUCAUUAAACAGGCAUACUCCAUCAAUCAUCUCAUUAAGAACACCUGAAGGAAUUCCAUGAUUAACCACUUGGAAAAAGCCCCAAUUCUCUGAUGCAAAUCUUACUUCCUCUACGAUCUCCUUACACAUAUUGCCCUUCUGGAUGUCACUUAAAUCAAUGACAGGAACUUCAAUAUCAGUCUGCUUGAAUUUCAACUCCUCAGCAAGCUCAUCAGGUGGUCGCAUAAAUAUUUUAGGGAUACUAAUGAGGUUGGCAUCUACAAGUCCUUUGACACCAGCUUUCAUGUCAUCAAACUCCUUCAGUUCUUUCAUUCUUUCAGCAUCCAUUUUGGCUGAGAAAUCCCCAGUGCCUGUCAUACUCAUUUUCUAUUUCACAAUUUUUGCAAGAGAAGCGAGUCAAUAGAGCAGUAGUGAAAUUUGAGAUGAGUUAUGUAGCAUAAAGAGAAAUUUACAAUGACAAGAAAAAAAAAUCAAAUAAAUGUGAGUUCACCUUGAAUAACAAUCAAAAUAACUAAUAUAAUAUAAUCUACUAAAGUCAGUCUUAUGUAUGUGACUCAUCUUGAAGAGUAAAUAACAAUAUUUUAAGGUAUUAAACUAACUCACAAAUGCAUAGUGAAAUAAAAUUAGAAAAUUAGUUGCUGACCUAGCAGACACUAUAUUGCAGUGGCAUUAUACAUGGUCAACUGUGAUUCUUUCUUGCAGCCAGCACCAAAAUCAUCUUCAGGGAAGGUGCUACAUAUGGAUCUUACCAGGUAGGCACUCCAUAACCCUUGAGUUAUUAUUUAGUGAAGAAUUUUCAAAGGAAUUAACAGAUAACAAUGCCUAUAUAUGAAUAUGAUAAUUAAACCCUUAAAAAGUGAGAUGACAUGUCCUGGUCAAUGAAAAUAAAGCAUUGGCCUACAAACUGAAAGAUACAAGUAAUCCAUCUACAAAUAUGAGUCACAUUCAAUCUUAUUGAAAAUUUUUUCCAGAUAGGCUUGCAAAAAAUAUCCAAUGCUACUAAAGCCAUACAUAGAACCAAAUAUGGAAAGUUAUCGCCUAAUUUCUUCCUUUCAACAAUUUUCUCUCAUUCCAGGCUAUGCAUGUUCACCCUAAAGAGAUAAAAUUGGCCAACUCUUCUUGAAGGAUUGUAACAUAAGAAAAACCACAACCUCAAUUUUAGAAUAAAGAGGGGAAAAAAGGGAGAAAAUGCAACAGGUACAUCCUCAAGUAACAAAUCACGUGAACAAGACCUCGAGAUGAGAAAUUGACAUCUGCUAGAAUACCAAAUUGAUGUUCAUUUAGUAAAUAAUGCCACAAAUGACAUUUAAAAGUUUAAAUCAAACCCAUCAUUUGGACUCAUCCAUUCAUAUGCUGACAAAGACUGCGGAUGAGGCCAAUCUAACCUUGUAUCUAUAGCUAUCUUUGUAACUUGAAAUGUGUAAGAGCAGAAUUCCCAUCUAGUCCUUUUGAAUCAUAGUAAGCAAUAAAGUCUUUCACAGUGAUUUCACCAUAUAUGGGGGGAUUUUCGUCUGAUAGUAAUUCCUUGAUUGGGCCAUACAUCCUUGUUGAUGGGUAAAGAUGUGGAGUAAAAAAGCAGGCUAUGGAAACACGGGGGCCAAUACGAUUUGCCAAUACCCUGUGCUCUACACUCUUGAACUUGUCAUUUGAUAUAAGCUGUAAAAGAUCUCCAAUGUUUACCACAAGAGCUCCAUCCACAUGAGGAACAUCAAUCCAACGAUUCUGAUGAAAAAUUUGGAGUCCACCAAUGUGGUCUUGGAGUAGGAUAGUAAGGAAAUCAGGGUCAGAAUGUUUGGUGGUGCCCAUUGUCAACUCAGGCUCAGGGCAUGCCGGAUAGUAGUGACUCAGUAGAGCAUGCCCUUUUGCACAAUCCAACUCUUUGAGAUGGUUAGCCUUGAGCCCAAGUGCCUCAGAUAGUAAUUCAAACAAAACUGUGCCUAAUUUAUAAACUUGUUUUGAGUACUCCAUUAUAGUGUCUCUGCAAACCAAAGGCAACUCUUCUGGGUCAAGUGGCUCAGGUCCCAUGACACAAAACAAAGUAUCCCUCCAAUUAGCAUACUUUGACUCAUACAAAUCAAAAUUGCUCCCAUACUUCACCUUUCUCAUCAAUUCUCUGGUAUAGUACUUCUCCUUUACCUCCCCUGGCAUCUCGUGGAACCCACGUGCCGCCGCCAACAUCUCUUCCAGAACCCGAUUGUCCAUCCCAUGGUUCACCACCUGGAAGAACCCCACCUCCUCCGCGGCCCGCAGGAUUCCAUCCACCGCUUCAGUUUGCCUGCUCUCCAUGUUUUCAAGGUCGACAACAGGAACAAUAAAGUGGGUGUUGGUGUGCUCGUCUGAAAUGUAGUUGCCGGCAGCGACUUCCUCGGGUGGGCGGAUGAAAAUUCGUGGGACUUUAGUGAUGCCGGCAUCGACAAGACCUUUGACGCCAGAUUUUGACUCGUCGAAUGAUUUGAGUUCUUGAUAGCGGUCGUAGGUGAUGGAAGUUCCGGUGAAGGAAUCUCCGGUGAGCAACAUUUUAUUACCACUUUUUUUUUUAUUAUUCGUUAUUGUCAGGAGUUUGAACAGUAGCUUGUUAGGAAUUUCAGAG
rnacentral:misc_RNA from 1 species